CCUGCCCUUACAUCUGGGAUAAGCCUGGGAAACUGGGUCUAAUACCGGAUAGGAGCGCCUACCGCAUGGUGGGUGUUGGAAAGAUUUAUCGGUUUUGGAUGGACUCGCGGCCUAUCAGCUUGUUGGUGAGGUAAUGGCUCACCAAGGCGACGACGGGUAGCCGGCCUGAGAGGGUGACCGGCCACACUGGGACUGAGACACGGCCCAGACUCCUACGGGAGGCAGCAGUGGGGAAUAUUGCACAAUGGGCGCAAGCCUGAUGCAGCGACGCCGCGUGAGGGAUGACGGCCUUCGGGUUGUAAACCUCUUUCAGUAGGGAAGAAGCGAAAGUGACGGUACCUGCAGAAGAAGCACCGGCUAACUACGUGCCAGCAGCCGCGGUAAUACGUAGGGUGCGAGCGUUAUCCGGAAUUAUUGGGCGUAAAGAGCUCGUAGGCGGUUUGUCGCGUCUGUCGUGAAAGUCCGGGGCUUAACCCCGGAUCUGCGGUGGGUACGGGCAGACUAGAGUGCAGUAGGGGAGACUGGAAUUCCUGGUGUAGCGGUGGAAUGCGCAGAUAUCAGGAGGAACACCGAUGGCGAAGGCAGGUCUCUGGGCUGUAACUGACGCUGAGGAGCGAAAGCAUGGGGAGCGAACAGGAUUAGAUACCCUGGUAGUCCAUGCCGUAAACGUUGGGCACUAGGUGUGGGGGACCAUUCCACGGUUUCCGCGCCGCAGCUAACGCAUUAAGUGCCCCGCCUGGGGGAGUACGGCCGCA
rnacentral:rRNA from 1 species